AAAAAUUAAACAAAAUAAAACAAAAAUAAAAUAAAAUAAGACAAAAAUAAAAACUAGUCCUAUUAUUCAGUCACCCGGAAGAAAUUGGGUGUUGACAGAAUUAAAGAAAUUCGUUGAAUUUGUUAGUGAAUGAAAGAAAUGCGUUGAAUUUGUUAGUGAAUUGAAGGAUUUGUNGAAUUUGUUAGUGAGUUAAGGAAAUGCGUUGAAUUUGUUAGUGAAUUAAAGAAA
rnacentral:lncRNA from 1 species